rnacentral:rRNA from 1 species
UGAAUACGAGAUGCUACGGCGUCGAAGCAGUCUAUGUCAUACUUCCAAGAAAAGCUUGCACUGUCAUAAACAAAUAAUGCCUGUACCAUAACCGAUACAGGUGGGUAGGUAGAGUAUACUAAGGGGCGCGAGAUAACUCUCUCUAAGGAACUCGGCAAAAUGACUCCGUAACUUCGGGAGAAGGAGUGCCUUAUUUUAUAAGGUUGCAAUAACAAGAUCCAAGCAACUGCUUACCAAAAACACAGGUCUCCGCUAAGUCGUAAGACGAUGUAUGGGGGCUGACGCCUGCCCAGUGCCAGAAGGUUAAAGAAGUUGGUUAGCAUCCGCGAAGCUGAUAACUGAAGCCCUGGUGAACGGCGGCCGUAACAAUAACGGUCCUAAGGUAGCGAAAUUCCUUGUCGGGUAAGUUCCGACCCGCACGAAAGGCGUAAUGAUUUGGAUACUGUCUCAGAGAGGGGCUCGGUGAAAUAGACUUGUCUGUGAAGAUGCGGACUACCUGCACCAGGACAGAAAGACCCUAUGAAGCUUUACUGUAACUUGAAAUUGAAAUUGGACUUUACUUGCGCAGUAUAGGUGGGAGGCGUUGAGAAUAUUCUUGCGGGAAUGUUGGAGCCAUCAGUGAGAUACCACUCUUGUAAUGUUAGAUUUCUAACUUUGUAUCAUUAUCUGGUCAAAGGACAGUUUCAGGCGGGCAGUUUGACUGGGGCGGUCGCCUCCCAAACGGUAACGGAGGCGCACAAAGGUUUCCUCUGAACGGGUAGAAAUCGUAUCUAGAGUGUAAAGGCAUAAGGAAGCUUGACUGUGAGACCUACAAGUCGAGCAGGGACGAAAGUCGGUCUUAGUGAUCUGACGGUGCUGAGUGGAAAGGCCGUCACUCAACGGAUAAAAGUUACUCUAAGGAUAACAGGCUGAUCUCCCCCAAGAGUUCACAUCGACGGGGAGGUUUGGCACCUCGAUGUCGGCUCAUCGCAUCCUGGGGCGGUAGUACGUCCCAAGGGUUGGGCUGUUCGCCCAUGAAAGCGGUACGCGAGCUGGGUUCAGAACGUCGUGAGACAGUUCGGUCCAUAUCCGGUGUAGGCGUUAGAAUAUUGAGAGGAGCCUUCUUUAGUACGAGAGGACCGAGAAGGACAUACCUCUGGUGUACCAGUUAUCGUGCCAACGGUAAACGCUGGGUAGCUAUGUAUGGAGUGGAUAACCGCUGAAAGCAUCUAAGUGGGAAGCCCACCUCAAGAUAAGUA